rnacentral:rRNA from 1 species
UACAGAGGGUGCAAGCGUUAAUCGGAUUUACUGGGCGUAAAGCGCGCGUAGGCGGCCAAUUAAGUCAAAUGUGAAAUCCCCGAGCUUAACUUGGGAAUUGCAUUCGAUACUGGUUGGCUAGAGUGUGGGAGAGGAUGGUAGAAUUCCAGGUGUAGCGGUGAAAUGCGUAGAGAUCUGGAGGAAUACCGAUGGCGAAGGCAGCCAUCUGGCCUAACACUGACGCUGAGGUGCGAAAGCAUGGGGAGCAAACAGGAUUAGAUACCCGGUAGUCC